AGCGCAACCCUCGCUGUGUGUUACAAGUGUCACACGGAACUGCCGGUCAUAAACCGGAGGAAGGUGGGGAUGACGUCAAGUCAGCAUGGCCUUUAUAUCCUGGGCUACACACACGCUACAAUGGGAAGGGACAAUAGGUUGCGAAGCCGCGAGGCGGAGCCAAUCCAGCAAAACUUCCCUCAGUUCAGAUUGCAGGCUGCAACUCGCCUGCAUGAAGUUGGAGUUGCUAGUAAACGCAGGUCAGCCAUACUGCGUUGAAUGCGUUCCCGGGGCUU
rnacentral:rRNA from 1 species